rnacentral:rRNA from 1 species
CCCUUAGAUGUCCUGGGCCGCACGCGCGUUACACUGAUGCAUUCAACGAGCUUAUAACCUUGGCCGAGAGGCCUGGGCAAUCUUGUUAACGUGCAUCGUGAUAGGGAUAGAUUAUUGAAAUUAUUAAUCUUGAACGAGGAAUUCCUAGUAAGCGCGAGUCAUCAGCUCGCGCUGAUUACGUCCCUGCCCUUUGUACACACCGCCCGUCGCUACUACCGAUUGGAUGGUUUAGCGAGAGCCUUGGAUUGGAGCCCAGGUGGUCGGCAACGGCCGCUCGGGAUGCCGAGAAAUUGCUCCAGCUGACUCAUCUAGAGGAAGUAAAAGUCGUAACA